rnacentral:rRNA from 1 species
UCUAGUGAUAAUGGCGAAGAGGUCACACCCGUUUCCAUACCGAACACGGAAGUUAAGCUCUUUAGCGCCGAUGGUAGUUGGGACUUUGUCCCUGUGAGUAGGACAUCGCUAGGC